rnacentral:rRNA from 1 species
GACGAACGCUGGCGGCGUGCUUAACACAUGCAAGUCGAACGGAAAGGCCCUGCUUUUGUGGGGUGCUCGAUUGGCGAACGGGUGAGUAACACGUGAGUAACCUGCCCUUGACUUUGGGAUAACUUCAGGAAACUGGGGCUAAUACCGGAUAGGAGCUCCUGCUGCAUGGUGGGGGUUGGAAAGUUUCGGCGGUUGGGGAUGGACUCGCGGCUUAUCAGCUUGUUGGUGGGGUAGUGGCUUACCAAGGCUUUGACGGGUAGCCGGCCUGGGAGGGUGACCGGCCACAUUGGGACUGAGAUACGGACCAGACUCCUACGGGAGGCAGCAGUGGGGAAUAUUGCACAAUGGGCGGAAGCCUGAUGCAGCGACGCCGCGUGCGGGAUGACGGCCUUCGGGUUGUAAACCGCUUUCGCCUGUGACGAAGCGUGAGUGACGGUAAUGGGUAAAGAAGCACCGGCUAACUACGUG